GGAGAGGGAGAGAGAGAACCGUGAAAGAGAGAUAGAGAGGGAAAGAAGAUCAUCCAUGGAAGCUUGGAAAAUUGAAGAGAUUAAAGGGGAAAAACAAGGAAUUAAGUUUAGGUCGAAACGAGGACACCGUCCCAUUGCUACCGGGAGCCGAUCACUGCACUCCACCUGGAGGUCAGUCUCAACCCAAGGCAUCCGUUCCUCUUAUGUCAACCUCAGGGUGUCUAGGCACUUAGAUGAAGGCAACUCAUUUUACGGAGUUUUGCUAAACUUUUGAUUUUGUACCCUGAUUGUCUGUCUAAAGAGGAAGUGUGUAUAAUCC